rfam:Synergistales bacterium 58_81 MPJ_scaffold_465, whole genome shotgun sequence.
GUUCCAGCCCUGUGCGACGGAAGGCCGUAAAACCCCGCCAGGCCCGGAAGGGAGCAACGGUAUACGGUCAUCCGGGUGCCGCAGGCAAACUGGAUCCCC